GCGUGACAUUAGCUAGUUGGCGGGGCAACGGCCCACCAAGGCGACGAUGUCUAGGGGUUCUGAGAGGAAGGUCCCCCACACUGGUACUGAGACACGGACCAGACUCCUACGGGAGGCAGCAG
rnacentral:rRNA from 1 species